CCAAAUCCUCCCAUACUUGCUUCACAAAAACUUGUUCUAGUCACUUGGGAAGGAGAUUGACAACAAAAAGAAAAAGAAAGGAAGGAGUUUUGAAGAAAAGGAAAUUCUGCAUAAAAAGGUUAGUAAUCAAAUUUGAUAAUUUGAGUUUGAUUCUUACAUUUCUAACUUAUUGAGCUUGUAAAUAAACUUAAAAUGAAAUGAAACAAAUUGUUGAGGGACUAAGCUGAAAUUCGGCCAGCAUGAAGGGAAGGGUGAUUUGCAUGAAUGGAAUGGUUUGAAUGGGUAUAGGAACUUUAAUUAGUUGAAUGGUUAGGAUUAAAGGCUUUGAAAGUAGCUAAAUGCAUGAGUUUGUGAAUUAGGGUUUUGAACAUUA
rnacentral:misc_RNA from 1 species